AUGCUCCCUUUGGCAACACAUAUAUUAAAAUUGGAAUGAUACAGGGAAGAUUACUAUGGUCCUGCACAAGGAUGACAAUUAUAGAGUAUUCCAAUUUUUU
rnacentral:snRNA from 1 species